GACGAACGCUGGCGGCGUGCUUAACACAUGCAAGUCGAACGGAAAGGCCCUGCUUUUGUGGGGUGCUCGAGUGGCGAACGGGUGCGUAACACGUGAGUAACCUGCCCUUGACUCUGGGAUAACUUCAGGAAACUGGGGCUAAUACCGGAUAGGAGCUCCUGCUGCAUGGUGGGGGUUGGAAAGUUUCGGCGGUUCGGGAUGGACUCGCGGCUUUUCAGCUUGUUGGUGGGGUAGUGGCUUACCAAGGCUUUGACGGGUAGCCGGCCUGAGAGGGUGACCGGCCACAUUGGGACUGGGAUACGGCCCAGACUCCUACGGGAGGCAGCAGUGGGGAAUAUUGCACAAUGGGCGGAAGCCUGAUGCAGCAACGCCGCGUGCGGGAUGACGGCCUUCGGGUUGUAAACCGCUUUCGCCUGUGACGAAGCGUGAGUGACGGUAAUGGGUAAAGAAGCACCGGCUAACUACGUG
rnacentral:rRNA from 1 species